AUAAAGACAAGCCCAGGUUAUGGCACUCUGCUGAUAAGGGAGAGAUGGUGAUGUAGUCAUUUUUGGAGGAAGCCAGACCUACCUCUUUUUAAUAGAUUCGGUUGCAGUUCUCAGGUCUCCCUCUCAGAAUCACUGUGCAGAUUUACUGGUAUUCCAGACUCAACCAUACUCCCUGUCAAGAUUAUGUGAAGACUGCAUAGGAAAACAAAUAUUUUCUGUUCAAGAGCAGGCUUU